rnacentral:rRNA from 1 species
UACGUAGGGUGCAAGCGUUGUCCGGAAUUAUUGGGCGUAAAGAGCUCGUAGGCGGUCUGUCGCGUCUGCUGUGAAAAUCAGGGCUCAACCCUGGACCUGCAGUGGGUACGGGCAGACUAGAGUGCGGUAGGGGAGAUCGGAAUUCCUGGUGUAGCGGUGAAAUGCGCAGAUAUCAGGAGGAACACCGGUGGCGAAGGCGGAUCUCUGGGCCGUAACUGACGCUGGAGGAGCGAAAGCAUGGGGAGCGAACAGG